AUUGAACGCUGGCGGCAGGCCUAACACAUGCAAGUCGAACGGUAACAGGAAGAAGCUUGCUUCUUUGCUGAUGAGUGGCGGACGGGUGAGUAAUGUCUGGGAAACUGCCUGAUGGAGGGGGAUAACUACUGGAAACGGUAGCUAAUACCGCAUAACGUCGCAAGACCAAAAAGGGGGACCUUCGGGCCUCUUGCCAUCGGAUGUGCCCAGAUGGGAUUAGCUAGUAGGUGGGGUAACGGCUCACCUAGGCGACGAUCCCUAGCUGGUCUGAGAGGAUGACCGGCCACACUGGAACUGGGACACGGUCCAGACUCCUACGGGAGGCAGCAGUGGGGAAUAUUGCACAAUGGGCGCAAGCCUGAUGCAGCCAUGCCGCGUGUAUGAAGAAGGCCUUCGGGUUGUAAAGUACUUUCAGCGGGGAGGAAGGGAGUAAAGUUAAUACCUUUGAUCAUUGACGUUACCCGCAGAAGAAGCACCGGCUAACUCCGUG
rnacentral:rRNA from 1 species